AGCGCCCUACGGGGCGCGGCAGUGAGGAGUAUUGGUCAAUGGGAGAGAUCCUGAACCAGCCAAGCCGCGUGAGGGAAGACGGCCCUAUGGGUUGUAAACCUCUUUUGUCGGAGAACAAAACCCGGGACGUGUCCCGGACUGCGUGUAUCCGAAGAAAAAGCAUCGGCUAACUCCGUGCCAGCAGCCGCGGUAAUACGGAGGAUGCGAGCGUUAUCCGGAUUUAUUGGGUUUAAACGGUGCGUAGGCGGUCCGUUAUGUCAGCGGUA
rnacentral:rRNA from 1 species